UCCAUCUCUACUCUCUCUGCUUUUACAUACGCUAUCCUUUGUGCCUUGGAUAUACUCCUGUUAGCAAAGAGCUUUGACCCAUGUUACCUCAUUUGGUGCCCAUGACAAUCCUGUGAGGUAGGUGCUAUUACUACCCUCAUUUUAUACAUGAGGAAAGUGAAGCAAAGAGAGGUAAAAUGAGUUGUCUAGGGUCACCCAGCUGGUUAAGUGUUUGAGAGAAUUCCAACUCAGCUCUUUCCAGUUCCAAGUCAAGUACCCCACCCACCUAGCUGCCUCAGGAAGUGACGGCCAUAUAGCAGUGACCGAUUUAGUGCUCUGAGACAUAGUGGAAAGAGGCUAAUCUUGGAGUCAGGAAGUCCUGGGUUAAAGUAUGCCUCUGAUGUAUUAGCUGUGAUUAUGGGUAAAUCACUUAAUCUCUCUGUGGUGGAGACAACUUUCUAAGAACACAAAUUGCCAAAUUUAUUGAUCAGCACUAGUGGAGGGAAUUUACCCACCUGGAGUUCCAUAUAAUAAUGAAAUAACAGGUCCAGAGUAAAACAGUCUUUCUGUACCCCAACCGGUAAGCCUUCAGGUCAUAUUUUCUAGCAUAUUUUUGGCCAACGCAACCCGAUGUCUACUUCUGUAGUGAAGUCACUGAGCAUCAAA